CAGCCGUAAACAAUGUGCGUUAGGUGUGUCGGUAACCACGCGUUACUGAUGCGCCGAAGAGAAAUCGUGAAACGCACCACCUGGGAAGUACGGUCGCAAGGCUGAAACUUAAAGGAAUUGGCGGGGGAGCACCACAACAGGUGGAGCCUGCGGUUUAAUUGGAUUCAACGCCGGACAUCUCACCGGAUAGGACAGCUGAAUGAUUGUCAAUCUGAAGGUUUUACAUGACUAGCUGAGAGGAGGUGCAUGGCGUCAGUGACU
rnacentral:rRNA from 1 species